rnacentral:rRNA from 1 species
CACAUGCAAGUCGAACGGUGAAGGAGAGCUUGCUCUCCGGAUCAGUGGCGAACGGGUGAGUAACACGUGAGCAAUCUGCCCCUGACUCUGGGAUAAGCGCUGGAAACGGCGUCUAAUACCGGAUACGAGCUGCGAAGGCAUCUUCAGCAGCUGGAAAGAAUUUCGGUCAGGGAUGAGCUCGCGGCCUAUCAGCUAGUUGGUGAGGUAACGGCUCACCAAGGCGUCGACGGGUAGCCGGCCUGAGAGGGUGACCGGCCACACUGGGACUGAGACACGGCCCAGACUCCUACGGGAGGCAGCAGUGGGGAAUAUUGCACAAUGGGCGCAAGCCUGAUGCAGCAACGCCGCGUGAGGGACGACGGCCUUCGGGUUGUAAACCUCUUUUAGCAGGGAAGAAGCGAAAGUGACGGUACCUGCAGAAAAAGCGCCGGCUAACUACGUGCCAGC